GUUGGCAGUGGAGGUAAGGGUAUCUUGUUGGAGAUCCCUGUGUAGCUGAGGCCUUAUGAAGGCUACCCACAAGGCUAUGUUAGCACUGAGCUGAAGCUUCGAGACAAGCCUGGGCUUGUGGUUUGUUACCUGACAAGGCUGAAAAAAGAUGAAUACUAAAUGCAAGAUUUUUGGCUUGGCCUUCACUUUCCAAGACAGGAAAGCUGGUCCUACCGCACCUAAGGCAUCCAGCACUUCCCAGCGUUCUGCUCUUGAUGUUAAAAAUGGAUGUGAGGACAGCUUGGUGGUGUUGAGCAGCCCAACAACACAGCCUAGUGAGGGGACUUCAGUGGGGAGAACUAUAAUGAGACUAUCCCAGCUGCGGGGCUGAAAUGAUAAACGAUUCCCACCUCUGGGAGUGGAUGUAGACAUUGCAAACCACAACUAUUGGGAUCCACCUCUUUGUACCACUGUUUCAGACGAGCGUUUCAAGCUCUUUCUUUGGCUGUUGUCACUACAGAAGAUGGACAGGAAUCUGCCUCGAGCGGGCAGACUCUGAUCUUUCCUACUUUAAUUGGGUGGUUAGUUGUAUCUUUUCUUCCCUAAAUUAUUGGCAGGAAAUUGCAAUUUAAUCCAUUCUGCACUUAAGAAAUUUAAUCAAUCAUUAGAAAUAACCGCCAAUGAUAGGAAACUAUGGUAAUUCAUGUUAUUUUUGCAGACAAAGCACUGAUAUAAACAAAACAUAAUUAAACAUGCCCUCUUUAUACACUUCAUAAAAAGCCACAGUCCUUGGGUAUUAUAAAUCUAAACUUAUUUCUCUGAUCUUGGGGCAUAAAAUGUGUUCUGUGAAUUGUGUUACUUCUUGUAGGAAAACACUGAUAAUAUUUGCCUCGCAGGCAGCAUAAAACACAAAAUGUAAAAUAAAAAUAAGUUAUUAAUCAGACUAACGGGCAACUUAAAUGGAAAGCUGUCUUCUAUGUCACAUUAAAAAUGAUAAUGAGCAACAUUUCACAAGGCAAUAUUAUUCAAAAAAAAAAAAAAAAAUCCACGUUGCACACAGCCUUCUCGCUCCAUAUCUGUGCUGUAGUCUCCAGGAAGCAAACAAGAAGGACAAGUUUUGUUGCUGGUUACCAUGGGUAUGUUGCCCGAGGAAUACCUGUGU